UACGAAGGGGGGCUAGCGUUGUUCGGAAUUAUUGGGCGUAAAGGGCGCGUAGGCGGCCUGGCAAGUGACGGGUGAAAGCCCUCGGCUCAACCGAGGAACUGCCUGUCAUACUGCCGGGCUUGAGUCCGGGAGAGGUGAGUGGAAUUCCCAGUGUAGCGGUGAAAUGCGUAGAUAUUGGGAGGAACACCAGUGGCGAAGGCGGCUCACUGGACCGGAACUGACGCUGAGGCGCGAAAGCGUGGGGAGCAAACAGG
rnacentral:rRNA from 1 species